GUUUGAGAUAUUUGCUCUUUAAAAAUCUGGAUCAAGCUGAAAAUUGAAACGACACACAGUUAAUGUGUGUUCGAGUCUCUCAAAUUUUCGCAAUCAGAAGUGAAACAUCUUCGGGUUGUGAGGNCACUAUCGUUAACUGAAUACAUAGGUUAACGAGGCGAACCGGGGGAACUGAAACAUCUAAGUACCCCGAGGAAAAGAAAUCAACCGAGAUUCCCCCAGUAGCGGCGAGCGAACGGGGAGCAGCCCAGAGUCUGAAUCAGCUUGUGUGUUAGUGGAACGGUCUGGAAAGUCCGACGGUACAGGGUGAUAGUCCCGUACACCAAAAUGCACAGGCUGUGAACUCGAAGAGUAGGGCGGGACACGUGGUAUCCUGUCUGAAUAUGGGGGGACCAUCCUCCAAGGCUAAAUACUCCUGACUGACCGAUAGUGAACCAGUACCGUGAGGGAAAGGCGAAAAGAACCCCGGCGAGGGGAGUGAAAAAGAACCUGAAACCGUGUACGUACAAGCAGUGGGAGCACCUUCGGGUGUGACUGCGUACCUUUUGUAUAAUGGGUCAGCGACUUAUAUUCUGUAGCAAGGUUAACCGUAUAGGGGAGCCGCAGGGAAACCGAGUCUUAACUGGGCGUUAAGUUGCAGGGUAUAGACCCGAAACCCGGUGAUCUAGCCAUGGGCAGGUUGAAGGUUGGGUAACACUAACUGGAGGACCGAACCGACUAAUGUUGAAAAAUUAGCGGAUGACUUGUGGCUGGGGGUGAAAGGCCAAUCAAACCGGGAGAUAGCUGGUUCUCCCCGAAAGCUAUUUAGGUAGCGCCUCGUGAAUUCAUCUUCGGGGGUAGAGCACUGUUUCGGCUAGGGGGUCAUCCCGACUUACCAACCCGAUGCAAACUACGAAUACCGAAGAAUGUUAUCACGGGAGACACACGGCGGGUGCUAACGUCCGUCGUGAAGAGGGAAACAACCCAGACCGCCAGCUAAGGUCCCAAAGUCAUGGUUAAGUGGGAAACGAUGUGGGAAGGCACAGACAGCCAGGAUGUUGGCUUAGAAGCAGCCAUCAUUUAAAGAAAGCGUAAUAGCUCACUGGUCGAGUCGGCCUGCGCGGAAGAUGUAACGGGGCUAAACCAUGCACCGAAGCUGCGGCAGCGACACUAUGUGUUGUUGGGUAGGGGAGCGUUCUGUAAGCCUGCGAAGGUGACCUGUGAGGGUUGCUGGAGGUAUCAGAAGUGCGAAUGCUGACAUAAGUAACGAUAAAGCGGGUGAAAAGCCCGCUCGCCGGAAGACCAAGGGUUCCUGUCCAACGUUAAUCGGGGCAGGGUGAGUCGACCCCUAAGGCGAGGCCGAAAGGCGUAGUCGAUGGGAAACAGGUUAAUAUUCCUGUACUUGGUGUUACUGCGAAGGGGGGACGGAGAAGGCUAUGUUAGCCGGGCGACGGUUGUCCCGGUUUAAGCAUGUAGGCUGGUUAUCCAGGCAAAUCCGGAUAAUCAAGGCUGAGGUGUGAUGACGAGGCACUACGGUGCUGAAGUAACAAAUGCCCUGCUUCCAGGAAAAGCCUCUAAGCAUCAGGUAACAUCAAAUCGUACCCCAAACCGACACAGGUGGUCAGGUAGAGAAUACCAAGGCGCUUGAGAGAACUCGGGUGAAGGAACUAGGCAAAAUGGUGCCGUAACUUCGGGAGAAGGCACGCUGGUGUGUAGGUGAAGUCCCUGCGGAUGGAGCUGAGACCAGUCGAAGAUACCAGCUGGCUGCAACUGUUUAUUAAAAACACAGCACUGUGCAAACACGAAAGUGGACGUAUACGGUGUGACGCCUGCCCGGUGCCGGAAGGUUAAUUGAUGGGGUUAUCCGUAAGGAGAAGCUCUUGAUCGAAGCCCCGGUAAACGGCGGCCGUAACUAUAACGGUCCUAAGGUAGCGAAAUUCCUUGUCGGGUAAGUUCCGACCUGCACGAAUGGCGUAAUGAUGGCCAGGCUGUCUCCACCCGAGACUCAGUGAAAUUGAACUCGCUGUGAAGAUGCAGUGUACCCGCGGCAAGACGGAAAGACCCCGUGAACCUUUACUAUAGCUUGACACUGAACAUUGAGCCUUGAUGUGUAGGAUAGGUGGGAGGCUUUGAAGCGUGGACGCCAGUCUGCGUGGAGCCAACCUUGAAAUACCACCCUUUAAUGUUUGAUGUUCUAACGUUGGCCCCUUACCGGGGUUGCGGACAGUGUCUGGUGGGUAGUUUGACUGGGGCGGUCUCCUCCCAAAGCGUAACGGAGGAGCACGAAGGUUAGCUAAUCCUGGUCGGACAUCAGGAGGUUAGUGCAAUGGCAUAAGCUAGCUUGACUGCGAGCGUGACGGCGCGAGCAGGUGCGAAAGCAGGUCAUAGUGAUCCGGUGGUUCUGAAUGGAAGGGCCAUCGCUCAACGGAUAAAAGGUACUCCGGGGAUAACAGGCUGAUACCGCCCAAGAGUUCAUAUCGACGGCGGUGUUUGGCACCUCGAUGUCGGCUCAUCACAUCCUGGGGCUGAAGUAGGUCCCAAGGGUAUGGCUGUUCGCCAUUUAAAGUGGUACGCGAGCUGGGUUUAGAACGUCGUGAGACAGUUCGGUCCCUAUCUGCCGUGGGCGCUGGAGAAUUGAGGGGGGCUGCUCCUAGUACGAGAGGACCGGAGUGGACGCAUCACUGGUGUUCGGGUUGUCAUGCCAAUGGCACUGCCCGGUAGCUAAAUGCGGAAGAGAUAAGUGCUGAAAGCAUCUAAGCACGAAACUUGCCCCGAGAUGAGUUCUCCCUGAGACUUUAAGUCUCCUGAAGGAACGUUAAAGACGAUGACGUUGAUAGGCCGGGUGUGUAAGCGCAGCGAUGCGUUGAGCUAACCGGUACUAAUGAACCGUGAGGCUUAACCUU
rnacentral:rRNA from 1 species